AGAGAGAGUGAGCAUGUGUGCAUGUUGGUCAGAAGACAAUUUGGGGAGUUGCUUCUCUCUCCACCAUGUGGAUCCCUCAUCAGGCUUGGUGGCAAACACUCCCAUAAAGCCAUCUCACUGCCCCUAAGAUGUUUGUUUUUGAGAUGGGAUCUCAUGUAGCCCAGGCUGAUCUCCAACUCACUAUGCAUGGCCAAGGAUGACCUUAAGUUUCUCAUCUUCUUGCCUUUACCUCCCAAGUGCUAGGAUUGCAAGCCUGCUCUGCCAAGCCUGGUUUAUUCGGAGACGGAACCCAGGUCCUCAAGCAUGCCAGGCAAGCUGUGUUCCAGUUCCAACCACAGUUACAUUGGGAAGGAGGCUCAUGUGCACACACAGAUGUGUGCCACAGUUAUAUGGUUGAUUGUUCUCUGCGAGAACACAGUCUUCUUGUUGCUCUGCUCUGAUCCUGUUGUCAGAAGAAGACUCUAUAGCCACUGGCCACUGUGUGCAUUGUGGCUGUCUCCUGGAGUCCAGAACAGCCCACGCCAACUCGACGGCAACUAGAAAAAUUCUGCAGUUUCAGAACUUAAAAGUCGCCUUUCGGACUGAGGCCAAACAUCACAAACACCUGUCCAGUAGCUGCUACAUGCACUCGAGGCUCCUUGGCAUCUGAAGAUUGUGCGUAGCACUCUUCCAUCUUAAUCGACCUUCAUACACUCAAGGGUUCUCCGAGUCUGCUGAUGGGACCAAGCCAGGCUCCCAAGUCAGCCUCUUCAGUCGCCACCACCACAUUUCCAACCAAAAGACUUUGGGCUCGGACCCAGUGAAAGUGAGUGGGGGAAUAUCACACACACACACACACACACACACACACACACACACACACUCACACACACACAUACACACAGUCACACACUCAUACACACACUCUCACACACACAUACACACUCAACCACAUGAGAAACACUUGUCUUCUCAGACUCACCCACGUGAAAAGCACUCCCCUUCUCACACUUACCAACAUGAGAAACAUGCCCCUGCUCACACUCACCCACGUGAGAAGCCCCCAGGAUGAUGAGUGAUGGUACACAAGUCCAGAACUUACACUGUGACAUGGGAGUGCCAAUUCAUCUCUGUAGAAGAGGCCAGGAGUUAAAUGUCCAGGUACACUUUAGAAGAUUCAUGUUCUCCUUUGCAUGGUGAGUAGGAAGCAGGGCUGCUGGUGAUAAAGUUAAUCUCCCGUCCUCAUGUGAGGAACAUGUCGCCAUAAUAUCUGGGAACAGAAGGCAUUUUCCUCAAACCCCAAGAAGGAUCUGAAAAGGCUAGCCCUGUCUCAGUGUGACCUGAAGGACCUGCACGCUCUUCCCUGUCUCUUGUCCACUUCCUAAGCAGAGCCACACUUUUCUCCACUCGGUUCCCCGUUCACCAAGGCCCUGCCUUCCACGUGCUCUUCCAGCUGUCGGCUAUCUGAAUCUCCAGACUGGUUUCCUUCCUCCCCAUUCUCCAACCUCAGCUGUGAGGUUACUGUUAGCAAGGUUGAUUUUCCUUUCUCGAACAUGCUUUC
rnacentral:lncRNA from 1 species